CAUGCCGCGUGAGUGAUGAAGGCCUUAGGGUUGUAAAGCUCUUUUACCAGGGAUGAUAAUGACAGUACCUGGAGAAUAAGCUCCGGCUAACUCCGUGCCAGCAGCCGCGGUAAU
rnacentral:rRNA from 1 species